rnacentral:rRNA from 1 species
GGAUUGCCUCAGUAACGGCGAGUGAAGCGGCAUCAGCUCAAAUUUGAAAUCUGGCCUCACGGUCCGAGUUGUAAUUUGUAGAGAAUGCUUCGGGUGAGGUCCGGUCUAAGUUCCUUGGAACAGGACGUCAUAGAGGGUGAGAAUCCCGUAUGCGACCGGUCGCCUCUACCCAUGUGAAGCUUCUUCAACGAGUCGAGUUGUUUGGGAAUGCAGCUCAAAAUGGGUGGUAUAUUUCAUCUAAAGCUAAAUACUGGCCAGAGACCGAUAGCGCACAAGUAGAGUGAUCGAAAGAUGAAAAGCACUUUGGAAAGAGAGUUAAACAGUACGUGAAAUUGUUGAAAGGGAAGCGCUUGCAACCAGACUUGCGCGCAGCCGAUCAUCCGGUGUUCUCACCGGUGCACUCGGUUGCGCUCAGGCCAGCAUCGGUUCCGGCGGUUGGAUAAAGGCCAAGGGAAUGUAGCUCCUCUCGGGGAGUGUUAUAGCCCUUGGCGCAAUGCAGCCUGCUGGGACCGAGGACCGCGCUUCGGCUAGGAUGCUGGCGUAAUGGUUGUAAGCGACCCGUCUUGAAACACGGACCAAGGAGUCUAACAUCUAUGCGAGUGUUUGGGCGUUAAACCCAUACGCGUAAUGAAAGUGAACGGAGGUGAGAACCCUUAAGGGUGCAUCAUCGACCGAUCCUGAUGUCUUCGGAUGGAUUUGAGUAAGAGCAUAGCUGUUGGGACCCGAAAGAUGGUGAACUAUGCCUGAAUAGGGUGAAGCCAGAGGAAACUCUGGUGGAGGCUCGCAGCGGUUCUGACGUGCAAAUCGAUCGUCAAAUUUGGGUAUAGGGG